rnacentral:rRNA from 1 species
GACGAACGCUGGCGGCGUGCUUAACACAUGCAAGUCGAGCGGUAAGGCCCUUUCGGGGGUACACGAGCGGCGAACGGGUGAGUAACACGUGGGUGACCUGCCCUCAGCUCUGGGAUAAGCCUGGGAAACCGGGUCUAAUACUGGAUAUGACUCCAUGACGCAUGUUGUGGGGUGAAAGCCUUGUGCGGCUGAGGAUGGGCCCGCGGCCUAUCAGCUUGUUGGUGGGGUGANGGCCUACCAAGGCGACGACGGGUAGCCGGCCUGAGAGGGCGACCGGCCACACUGGGACUGAGACACGGCCCAGACUCCUACGGGAGGCAGCAGUGGGGAAUCUUGCGCAAUGGGCGAAAGCCUGACGCAGCGACGCCGCGUGAGGGAUGACGGCCUCGGUUGUAACGUAC